GCGGCGGACGGGUGAGUAACACGUGGGUAACCUGCCCAUAAGACUGGGAUAACUCCGGGAAACCGGGGCUAAUACCGGAUAACAUUUUGAACUGCAUGGUUCGAAAUUGAAAGGCGGCUUCGGCUGUCACUUAUGGAUGGACCCGCGUCGCAUUAGCUAGUUGGUGAGGUAACGGCUCACCAAGGCAACGAUGCGUAGCCGACCUGAGAGGGUGAUCGGCCACACUGGGACUGAGACACGGCCCAGACUCCUACGGGAGGCAGCAGUAGGGAAUCUUCCGCAAUGGACGAAAGUCUGACGGAGCAACGCCGCGUGAGUGAUGAAGGCUUUCGGGUCGUAAAACUCUGUUGUUAGGGAAGAACAAGUGCUAGUUGAAUAAGCUGGCACCUUGACGGUACCUAACCAGAAAGCCACGGCUAACUACGUGCCAGCAGCCGCGGUAAUACGUAGGUGGCAAGCGUUAUCCGGAAUUAUUGGGCGUAAAGCGCGCGCAGGUGGUUUCUUAAGUCUGAUGUGAAAGCCCACGGCUCAACCCGUGGAGGGUCAUUGGAAACUGGGAGACUUGAGUGCAGAAGAGGAAAGUGGAAUUCCAUGUGUAGCGGUGAAAUGCGUAGAGAUAUGGAGGAACACCAGUGGCGAAGGCGACUUUUUGGUCUGUAACUGACACUGAGGCGCGAAAGCGUGGGGGAGCAAACAGGAUUAGAUACCCUGGUAGUUCACGCCGUAAACGGAUGAGUGCUAAAGUGUUAGAGGGUUUCCGCCCUUUAGUGCUGAAGUUUAACGCAUUAAGCACUCCGCCUGGGGAGUACGGCCGCAAGGCUGAAACUCAAAGGAAUUGACGGGGGCCCGCACCAGCGGUGGAGCAUGUGGUUUAAUUUGAAGCAACGCGAAGAACCUUACCAGGUCUUGACAUCCUUUGAAAACCCUAGAGAUAGGGCUUUUCCUUCGGGAGCAGAGUGACAGGUGGUGCAUGGUUGUUGUCAGCUCGUGUCGUGAGAUGUUGGGUUAAGUCCCGCAACGAGCGCAACCCUUGAUUUUAGUUGCCAUCAUUAAGUUGGGCACUUUAAGGUGACUGCCGGUGACAAACCGGAGGAAGGUGGGGAUGACGUCAAAUCAUCAUGCCCCUUAUGACCUGGGCUACACACGUGCUACAAUGGACGGUACAAAGAGCUGCAAGACCGCGAGGUGGAGCUAAUUUCAUAAAACCGUUUUCAGUUCGGAUUGUAGGCUGCAACUUGCCUACAUGAAGCUGGAAUCGCUUGUAAUCGCGGAUCAGCAUGCCGCGGUGAAUACGUUCCCGGGCCUUGUACACACCGCCCGUCAC
rnacentral:rRNA from 1 species